UCACUCGCAUCAGUCCAAGGUGUCCGUCCCUUCCCUUGCCAUUGCCAUGGGACCCUGGUUGGUCAUCACUGAUUUCUAGGCAUGCAUGCAUGCAUAAUAUGACCACCAAUGGAGUAAAGGAGCCGGCACCCCAGCCUGUCAUGCUCCCUGACCCCUCCCAGUCCUCCGCUAGGCGACAAAUUAAAUCCUCCCCCUACCCGUCUCCACCAAGUCCACCUCCACUCCACCACGCGCCUAUAAAUCACCCGCCCCGCCGCCUCCACCGCCAUUCUCAUCCCCGCCACAACGGCGCCGGCAGCGGCAUUAGCAACCUAACCCUCGCCCAACCGACACACUUCAACACACUGUACACCCGACCGGACCCUCCCACCACCCAUGGGCCUGUGCGUGUCGCUCGGCGGGACGGCCGGCGCCGAGGCCGCGCGGGCGGCGGCGCCCAGCUGCAAGUGCGGCACGGCGCUGGUGCUCAUGCCCAGCGGCGACAUGCGGGAGUACCCUUUCCCGGCGACGACGGCCGCGCGCGUGCUGGAGGACGCCUCCGCCGCCGCCGACGGCGGCGAUGGCUGGCUCCUGUGCGACGCGGACGGGAUGGGCUUCGAGGGCCCGGCCCCGCCGGCGGUGCCCCACGCGGAGCCGCUCCGCGCGGGGCAGCUCUACUUCGUGCUCCCGGCCGCCGCGCGCCGCCGCGGCCUGCGGCGCGAGGAGGUCGCCGCGCUCGCCGUCCGGGCCUCGGCCGCGCUCUCCUCCCGGGCCUCCGCAUCCGCCUCCGCCGCGCCGGGAAGGCGGAGGCGCGGCGCCGUCGUCGCGCCCCUCGUCUUCGCGCCACCGCCGGAGGACGAGGAGGAGGAGCGCGAGCAGCAGAAGUCGACGGCCUUGGCGGCGCCACCGGUGCGGCGGCCCGCGCGCCCCGGCAGGCGCCUCGUGCGGUUCGCGUCGGACCUCACCGCGAUCCCCGAGUGAGUAGGCGGGUCGGGCUCAGACGGACGGGAACGGAUUCGCUGCCAUUGAAUUGGCUCUGGAACUGGAAGCAGAGGACGAGGACGCCUGGAGUCGGGACGGACAGAGGAAAUUCCAGGCAGGCACCGUCAGAUUCUCAUCGAGGGGAGGCCCUGAUCACUGCACGUGCAAGUCAUGGACGAAACGUGAAUACAAAUGUAAAAAAUGAAUAGCGAUGAUUCAUGGUCUUACCAAGAUCGCUCCACAACUCACUUGCGUAGUUGCAUGUCGUAUCGUCCCUCCCCUCCCGUGUCGCAGUCGCAGCUCGCACCCCAGCCAGAAGCUCUGUGCCGUUUCGUGGAGCAACAAACAGCAAGUGGCUUCCGUUACUGGACGGCCAAACACGGACGGACGAACCCUCUUGGCGAUGGCGAAACCGGACACCCUAGGUUUUAGGAGGUCAAAUGUCUUGUCUCUCUCGGACCAGCACACGAUGCUGGUCACAACAACGUAACCAUAGUUCAUGUAAUCCCGUAAGAAGACUGCAAACUCCACCUAAUAUAGCGCGUAAGCACCAAGUGAUUUGAUAUAUACAAACUUAACUAAAUACUAGAUCUAGA
rnacentral:misc_RNA from 1 species